AUUGAACGCUGGCGGCAGGCCUAACACAUGCAAGUCGAGCGGAAACGAUCCUAGCUUGCUAGGAGGCGUCGAGCGGCGGACGGGUGAGUAACACGUGAGAAUCUGCCCAUUAGUGGGGGAUAACCUGGGGAAACCCAGGCUAAUACCGCAUAAUCCCUACGGGGGAAAGCAGGGGACCUUCGGGCCUUGUGCUGAUGGAUGAGCUCGCGUCGGAUUAGCUUGUUGGUGAGGUAAUGGCUCACCAAGGCGACGAUCCGUAGCUGGUCUUAGAGGAUGAUCAGCCACACCGGGACUGAGACACGGCCCGGACUCCUACGGGAGGCAGCAGUGGGGAAUCUUGGACAAUGGGGGCAACCCUGAUCCAGCCAUGCCGCGUGUGUGAAGAAGGCCUUCGGGUUGUAAAGCACUUUCAGUAGGGAGGAAGGCUUAUCCUUAAUACGGAUGAGUACUUGACGUUACCUACAGAAGAAGCACCGGCUAAUUUCGUGCCAGCAGCCGCGGUAAUACGAAAGGUGCGAGCGUUAAUCGGAAUUACUGGGCGUAAAGCGCGCGUAGGCGGUUUGCUAAGUCAGAUGUGAAAGCCCCGGGCUCAACCUGGGAACUGCAUUUGAAACUGGCAGGCUAGAAUGCAGUAGAGGGAGGUGGAAUUUCCGGUGUAGCGGUGAAAUGCGUAGAGAUCGGAAGGAACACCAGUGGCGAAGGCGGCCUCCUGGACUGACAUUGACGCUGAGGUGCGAAAGCGUGGGUAGCAAACAGGAUUAGAUACCCUGGUAGUCCACG
rnacentral:rRNA from 1 species